GGGGUGUUUGGAGCAGGGAAGGGACCCAGAAGGAAAGGGGGGGUGCUGUGGAGUGACCAGGAAGAAUGUGGGCUUUUUCUGUUUCCUGGGAGCUCUGGUGAGGUUUGUAGGUGAUGAGCUCCCCCUCUUUUCCGUCCAGGAGCUGCAGGAUCUGCCAAGAGAGGCUGGGGAGGUCCUGAGACCCUUCCCUGUCAGAGAAGAAGAGGCAGAGGGUGGCAAGGGCGUAAGCAUGGCUUUCUCACCCAUUCCCAGGGGACAGGAGGCAUCGGGAGAGUGUCCUGCGUGGGGGAACUGUCAGAGGGGAGGAUGACAUCGUGCCCCCUGCACCUCCAGCCCCCAAUAAUGUGAGGAUGCGCUAAGUUAGGGAAGUGAGGAAAAGGCCCCACUCCUCCUAGCAGAUUUCUGAACUGAGGUGAGGUCUGAACUGGUGGAAAGAUGAAAUUUUGAUUUCAGUCUAGCUGGAAUUUAUUUUAAAAAUCUGCAAAGGAUGCUGUUCUAAAGCUGAAAAGUGACUGGAAAAGCUCUGAGAUGCACCUGGGGUGUUGUCUAGAAGUGGGGAAGGAAGCUCUGGCACAGAAGUUCGGGAAGUGUGGGGAGACAGAAAUUCAUUUCCCCCCAUUCAGAGGGCCAGGCGCAAGUUUCUGCUGAACACUCUCCCGUCUCUUCCAACCUACACCUACAGCCCUGCAUCUUCUCACUGAAAACAUUUCCAUCUUCUGGGUCAACAGCCGCACUUUUUGUGGUGUGUAGAAACGAGAUACAGGGGCCCCCAACACCCAGUGUGUUGGGUGCUGUACAGGAGUGAGCGUUGGCGGCAGCCGGGGCUCGGCUCACCGCCUCAGGGUACUGUGUGUACACAGGAGUCAGGAGUAAGUCACUUUCCCAGCCCGUGAGGCAUCAUUUUAGAGCUGGUUUCUCUACUGUACCAAUGUCCCUGUUCUGCCUGGCCUUUGUCUGCAGCCCUGCUCCCUUCCCUGGCUGUCACCAUUCCAGGAGCUGCCCUCCUGUGCUCUGCACUGCUCCCAUCCACCUGUCCCCGCCCCAGACUGUGGGUGGGAGCCCGACCUGCACUCUGGCUGUGCUGGAACAAAGCGUCAGGGCUUGGUCACCAUCAGCCGCUGACCACGGUCUGCUCGGGCUGCUGGGAGACCAGGCUGUGCUGGGGAGUUCCCGGGGAUCCUGGCGCCUGCCAGGAACCUGAGCUAGGUAGGUGGGAAGUAGUUGUGAGCAAGACUUACGGCCUCACGGUGAUGGGAACAGGAAGGUUCAGCUGCCAGAUGCACACAGAGUAGUCAGCAGCGCGGCCCUGGGCUCUCAGGCUUGGGGUGAAACCCUGAUCUCCCCAUUUCCAGCCACGUGGCCUUGCUCACCUCUCCAGCCUGGGUCUAUCUGUGGAAUGGGAUGCGGUGGUGCCGACGCCACGGGGCUGUUAUAAAAAUGCUCGUUUCAGCUUGGAACUUACACCGGCCCUCCCCGUGCUCCCUGAGUGGCUGCUGUGCUGGGCCUGAGGGCUGCUUGCUCCUUCCCUCACUGUUCCCAAGCUGUCGGCUGCCCUCUGAGGUCUUCAUUUGGGGGCGGUUGUACUGAGACGUCUGCGGACUCAGGCUCCGCGAGGGUGCGUUCUCCUGGGGUCUCAGCUCCUUGGUCUGACGGGCCUAUUUAAACUCCUGACAUGCAGUCAGCACUCAGAUGUUUGACGGGCAAGUGAGCAAACGAACAAAUGAAUGAAUAAGUGCCUUAGAACACUCAAGGCAGAUACACGUGGGCAGAAAUGAACUUCCAGAGGCCGCCACAGCCUCAGUCGUUUCCUGUUGCAAUAUUGUCUAUGGAAUGGCUGAGCCAAGAACUGAAAGGUUCCGGUUCCUCUCCCCGGAGUUUGGACAGCACCAAGCUGUAGCAGUAGGGUCGUAUGCAACACAGAGAAGGCCAUUUCUGUGGGAGAUGCUUCCAGUGGAACUUUGGAGUCUGGGCUGAGCUUGUCGACAAGGGUCUUGAGCCUGUUGUUUAUUAGAAUUUGGCUGCAGGGUUAGCUCUUCCUCUGACAUGGUUCAUCCCAUUCAUCAGAUGAGUAAGGAGUUGUCCCCGGACUAUAGACCUGCGCUGACAUCUCUUGCACAGUAAAGAAAAGGAAAAAUUCAUAGUUGUAUGUUGUGGUUUUCAGUAUCUUUAGUUUACAAGCCAACUGUUUAUCACAUCAGGACAUUGAUCUAUAAAUAAAUUUGAAAGCAGUGAUACAUCUGGGCCUUCGCGGGCCUCCAGUUGAGGCAAUGAUCUAUAAAUAUGUUUGUCUGUGUCGCUGAUCUUUUGUUAUUAAUGUUGCGGCUUUCAUCGUGGUUAUCAAUCUCACCCUGAUUACCAGAGUCUUUGCAAAACACUUUGUUCCCUGACCAGGCCUCG
rnacentral:lncRNA from 1 species